GGAUGAAUGUCGAUAAAGUUCUUGCGGGUGUCUUCACCUCUAAAACUCAAGAACACUUGAUAUUUACAAUUAGAGAACCGUGAAGAUGAGGAUUCUUGAUAUUUCCCAGAAGCCAUUUCGAGACUAGCAAAGAAAAAAAAAAAAAAGUUGCAGGAUGAAUGUCGAUAAUUCAAGAUCGAUUGCACAGCAAUUAGCUGAAGUAUUUAUAUAUGGUUAUCUGACUUUUUCUUGAAAACAUUUUUUAAGUUAUUUCCCAGCAAUCAACUCCCCCAAGCCCUUUCAGAGAAAUAUCUGUACAUAUUUUAACCGCACUUGCUACCACGCAUUUAGAAGCACAGAUGGAGCAGGAAAGGAAAGUCAUUAAGGAUCCCCAUCUGGCUAUGUAAGCCUUAAUUAUUUAGAAAGCACACAUCUUGUAAUCCUUAUAAAGCCCACUGAGGUGAAUUUGUUAGUUUAUAAUUUUUUGAGUGGCAUAAUAUGAUGAGAUGAUGAACAAGUAGUCACUAGCAGUGGUCUAAUCUAAGUGAUCAUCAACAAAGAAAACAAGACAGCAGCUGGAACCAAAGUAAACAGGAGAUAAGAAAGAGAGAGUACCUGCAAGUUUCCCUUCCCUUCUCUCUUCAGUUGUGGCUGCCGUGCUGUAUCAGUAAUCUAAGCGGUUCUGCUCCAAAAUUUUAAGACAAC